rnacentral:misc_RNA from 1 species
UUUAACAUAACAUUAUUAAUGUAAAUGAACUAACCUGUAUCUCCCUCUCCAUAUUCUGCCAUAGAAUCAGUAUCAGAUUCAGGAUGCUUUCCAUCUUGAUGGGAAGAAGAUGCCAGAGAAGCGCGACCGCCUGCUGAUUUGGUAUCUAAAGGUUGCGAAUAUUCAUGAAAACCGCCUUCAUCUGGAUAAUCGCCGCGCCCAGCAGCUAAUUCUCUUUCAUGUACGGCGUAUUUUCCACCUCUAUUACGUUUAAUAACGCAUACUAUUAUAAGUACCAAAAGAAGAAAGGCAAUUGCUAACAUCAUUCCUAUGAACCAUCCAGCGGUUGCGACAUUUUCUUUAGGCUGAAUGAUAGGUCCUUCGCUACUCGUUUCUACUUCUUGUGGUUCGCUUUCUGUGAAGUAGUUACCAUCAACAGCAACGACAGACAUCACAUAAACUUCACCACUUUGAAGUCCUCGAAUUUCGAUCGUGUUCGAUUGAUAUUCUGGUUCGGUUUGGAGUGGUAUCGUUUCACCUUUGAGUUUAUACUUUACAAAAAAGUGACUUCCUGGAUUCCCAUUGAGAUUCAGCUGCCAGAUAAUUCUUACAUUCGAGUAUCCAUUUUCCUUAGGAAUAGCUUCCCAUGUGAAUUGUGGUAUAUCAGGUCGUUGAGAUGUGCGUGUUUUUUGCUCGAUGAAGUAACUAAUUGUUGCUCGAACAUGUACACGAUAUUUCGUAUCAGGUGCUAGAGCAGCCAAUUUUGCACUGGUGGCUUCUGGAUCUAUAAUAUGUGGUUUUCUCUCCAAGAGAGGUCCCAGUCUGGUUCCAUUUACGGAUUCAUAAUAUAUUCUGUAGCCAGUCAAGAUACCAUUUGGUUCGGCAGGUUUUGUCCAUGCUAAAAACAAAGCACUGGAACCCAUUGGGAACGCCUCAAGAUUGAGGACUGUUCCUGGGACACCUUCUGGUGUGUCAAAGCUUAAAGUUUCA